rnacentral:rRNA from 1 species
GACGAACGCUGGCGGCGUGCUUAACACAUGCAAGUCGAACGGAAAGGCCCUGCUUUUGUGGGGUGCUCGAGUGGCGAACGGGUGAGUAACACGUGAGUAACCUGCCCUUGACUUUGGGAUAACUUCAGGAAACUGGGGCUAAUACCGGAUAGGAGCUCCUGCUGCAUGGUGGGGGUUGGAAAGUUUCGGCGGUUGGGGAUGGACUCGCGGCUUAUCAGCUUGUUGGUGGGGUAGUGGCUUACCAAGGCUUUGACGGGUAGCCGGCCUGAGAGGGUGACCGGCCACAUUGGGACUGAGAUACGGCCCAGACUCCUACGGGAGGCAGCAGUGGGGAAUAUUGCACAAUGGGCGGAAGCCUGAUGCAGCAACGCCGCGUGCGGGAUGACGGCCUUCGGGUUGUAAACCGCUUUCGCCUGUGACGAAGCGUGAGUGACGGUAAUGGGUAAAGAAGCACCGGCUAACUACGUGCCAGCAGCCGCGGUGAUACGUAGGGUGCGAGCGUUGUCCGGAUUUAUUGGGCGCAAAGGGCUCGUAGGUGGUUGAUCGCGUCGGAAGUGUAAUCUUGGGGCUUAACCCUGAGCGUGCUUUCGAUACGGGUUGACUUGAGGAAGGUAGGGGAGAAUGGAAUUCCUGGUGGAGCGGUGGAAUGCGCAGAUAUCAGGAGGAACACCAGUGGCGAAGGCGGUUCUCUGGGCCUUUCCUGACGCUGAGGAGCGAAAGCGUGGGGAGCGAACAGGCUUAGAUACCCUGGUAGUCCACGCUGUAAACGGUGGGUACUAGGUGUGAGGUCCAUUCCACGGGUUCCGUGCCGUAGCUAACGCUUUAAGUACCCCGCCUGGGGAGUACGGCCGCAAGGCUAAAACUCAAAGGAAUUGACGGGGCCCCGCACAAGCGGCGGAGCAUGCGGAUUAAUUCGAUGCAACGCGUAGAACCUUACCUGGGUUUGACAUGGAUCGGGAGUGCUCAGAGAUGGGUGUGCCUCUUUUGGGGUCGGUUCACAGGUGGUGCAUGCCUGUCGUCAGCUCGUGUCGUGAGAUGUUGGGUUAAGUCCCGCAACGAGCGCAACCCUUGUUCACUGUUGCCAGCACGUUAUGGUGGGGACUCAGUGGAGACCGCCGGGGUCAACUCGGAGGAAGGUGGGGAUGACGUCAAGUCAUCAUGCCCCUUAUGUCCAGGGCUUCACGCAUGCUACAAUGGCUGGUACAGAGAGUGGCGAGCCUGUGAGGGUGAGCGAAUCUCGGAAAGCCGGUCUCAGUUCGGAUUGGGGUCUGCAACUCGACCUCAUGAAGUCGGAGUCGCUAGUAAUCGCAGAUCAGCAACGCUGCGGUGAAUACGUUCCCGGGGCU